rnacentral:rRNA from 1 species
UACCAGCACCCCGAGUGGUCGGGACGUUUUAUUGGGCCUAAAGCAUCCGUAGCCGGUUCUACAAGUCUUCCGUUAAAUCCAACUGCUUAACAGGUGGGCUGCGGAAGAUACUAUAGAGCUAGGAGGCGGGAGAGGCAAGCGGUACUCGAUGGGUAGGGGUAAAAUCCGUUGAUCCAUUGAAGACCACCAGUGGCGAAGGCGGCUUGCCAGAACGCGCUCGACGGUGAGGGAUGAAAGCU